CGGGGAUUGUUUUCCACACCGUGGAAGCUUUGUUCUUUUCGUUUUUUGCAAUAAAUCUUGUUGCUGCUCGCUUUUUGGGUCCACAUUGCUUUUAUGAGCUGUACCACUCACCGUGAAGAUCUGCAGCUUCACUUCAGAGCCUAGCGAGACCACAAGCUCACUGAGAGGAACAAACAACUCCAGACGCGCUGUCUUAAGAGCUAUAACACUCACCGCGAAGGUGUGCAGUUUCACUCCUGAGCUAGUGAGACUACGAAGCCACUGGAACGAAGAAACUCCAACCACGUUUGAACAUCAGAAGGGGCAGACUCCAGACGCUUCAUCUUAAGAGCUGUAACACUCACUGUGAAGGUCUGCAGCUUCACUCCUGAGCCAGCGAGACCACGAACCGAUCUGAACAUCAGAAGGGACAGACUCCAGAUGCCCCACCUUAAGAGCUGUAAUACUCACUGCAAGGGUCUGCAGCUUCAUUCUUGAAGUCAGACCAAGAACCCAGCAAUUCCCAACACACAGGGACCAGCUUCUUUCCUAACUCACUUAGGCUCUUCGUGCUGCUCUGGCAACUAACACCCUUGGCUGCAGGGGCUUGGACACUACCCUUAGUCACUGACAAUUGUGUGAAGGCUGCUGUCGUUAACUUCACUUGAUCACCUUAGGCUCCUGUGAAGUGGUGAGCAAUUCAAACAAAUUCCUGUCGUCAAAUCAAGGGUCCUUUGUGGAAGUCAUGGGGCAGGGUCCCCUGAGGCACCUUGAAAGUAAAGGAGAAACAGCUCUCAGGGACUCAGCUGCAAGUCAUUAGUAACUAAGCGGAACAGCUGUCUUCAGCAAAGCUUGACCUGGAUCCCAGAACUGAAACAGCGGGAGAAACAGAACUCUCACCUUCCUUAACCUGGAUCCCAGAAUUUAAACGGACUGCUUCCCCAACAGCAGGCGAUGGAGUCCCUGAGAUGCCUGCUAAAAAUACAGACCCCUGUUCACAAGGGCCAAGAGGUGGGAGCAACCCAGGUGUGUACGGAUGGAUAAAUGGAUAAGCAAAAUGUGGUCUAGCCAUGCAACGGAAUGUCCUGCAGCCUUGAACAGGAAGGAAAUCUUGACGCGCGCCGCAGCAUGGGGGAGCCGCAAUGAGGACGUUAUGCUAAGCCAGUCACAAGUGCAUGAUUCCACUCAGAGGAAGGACCCAGAGUCGUCAAAUUCAGAGACACAGAGGAUAUACAUCUUUCCACACCAAUAGACCUUGUUUUCCGAUGUAGCAUUAUUUUUCAUAGUUGGCGAAUAUACAGUUAUGGAUUCAUAACAGCAAGAUGGAGAAAUUGCACUGCAGAGAAAUCUUUAAAAGCAAUUACCUAAUACUGCAGAUUGCUGAACUGUACCCACACCCAAGACUGAGCAUUGGAUCAAUCCAGAAUAUACAUCAGGUGUUCUGCAAUGUCUGCCUAAAACCAUGACUCUGCCUCCUCCAGCUGUUGCUACAUCUCACUAUGGGUUUCCUGUGACAUUUUGAGCAAGUAUGCCUCUGUGACUGGGGUUCUUACACUCCAGAAUGGAUGAGAAGCACCGUAAGUGGCUUUUAAAAUGAAUAUUCCCUGGCC
rnacentral:lncRNA from 1 species